GGGAGGCCGCCCGUGUGCGGAGCGCAGCCCAGAGCCACAGGGCGCAGAGGGUGGAGACGGGAGCACCUACCCACCCACCCGACCUGUCAACACUGUGGGGCUCGGCUGCACAUGGAUUCAGCCUGGUGAUCACAUUCCUUCCCCAGAAACACCUUCCGGAAGCCGAGGCCUCUCUGCGCCUCGAAAAGGGGAAGGCGGGCUGGGCCUGAGAGCUGCCCUUCUCCCCUCCUGUGUGACCACAAACCCAAGCCCCAGGCUGUGGCCCCGAGUCCCUCCUGCGCACCUCCCGACCUGCAGGGACUGUCCUGGGACCCCCAGGACCAGGACAGGGGGCCAGCGAGAUGCUGGCCACGGUCCCCAGUCCCAUCCCCCCGCUGGGCCUUGUGCUCUGCCCGGGCCAGGGUCCCGCACGCAGGAGGGUGAGUCGUCCCACGCGGCUCCCGGACCCCUCCACCCCAGGGCGGCUGCAGGAGGGAUCCGCACCCCGCGGACACCCCGCGAACGUCCCGCUCUGCUUCCCAUGAAACUGCAAACCCUGCAGGAAGCGCGAUGGCCCGGAUCUCCCACACCCAGCACGCCAGCACCGGGCCUCAGACCCGGUUCCUCACCCACACCUCCUCGGUCCUCUCCUGUGACGCUGUCGCCCAGGACAGGCGACACCCGGUCACCCGGGACGCCGCCAGCUCAGCCCAGUCACAGAGCCUGGCCUCCACCCCUACCUGCUCUGCACCCGCCACUGUCCCCCUAGACACCGGCUUCCCAUCAGCACCCCUCAUCUCUCACCUCCACCCACCUGAGGCCCCUCAUCUCAGUAGAGCUUGGUGAGGAAAUGCCCUCCAAAAAUAGGAAGCGAUAUAUCCCAAGCCUACUGAUUUGUGAUUGAAGCAUUAUUUGUACUUGUGAAAUACUGGGAAAGAAGCCCGAAAUGCGCAAAUGCUGAGCUAACUCAACUCAGGUUCGUGCUCAGGGCGGAGUGACAGACCACCAAGAAGGACAAGAGGAAGCUGUCUUCAUAGAGUGUGAGUGUCAGAAUGUGCUGCUAAGUGAAAGGCACAAACUAGCGAAGAGAAGAGAAAAUAGUGCUGGAGAAACACAAGAUGGCAGUAAGAGGAUCGUGGGGAAAGGAGAAGGCUUAGAUGCGUCUGUUUAUUGUGGCUGCAUUUGACAGACAUUUAAAAGCGCAGGGGGUCUCAUAGACCAUGUUGUUCACAAAGGGAAUCCGUCUGGGAGGAGAGAAGGCAUUCUCUCCAGCACAAUAGCUGCUAGAACUAGUGAGUGAAGUUUAGUGGGGAAUAUAGAAGCCUCUCAAAAUACCUCCUCACAAACUGAUGAUCGAUUACAAAGGGCAAGUGACAGCUCUACUGGGGAGACACCAGGGGGUGCCACAUUAACCAAGC